rnacentral:rRNA from 1 species
UGCGUAGGCGGUGCGGUAAGUCUGUUGUGAAAUCUCCGGGCUCAACUCGGAGCCUGCAACGGAAACUGCCGUGCUGAGUAUGGGAGAGGUGAGUGGAAUUCCCGGUGUAGCAGUGAAAUGCGUAGAUAUCGGGAGGAACACCUGUGGCGAAAGCGGCUCACUGGACCAUUACUGACGCUGAUGCACGAAAGCUAGGGGAGCAAACAGGAUUAGAUACCCUGGUAGUCCUAGCCCUAAACGAUGAUCGCUUGGUGUGACAGGUACCCAAUCCUGUUGUGCCGGAGCUAACGCGUUAAGCGAUCCGCCUGGGGAGUACGGUCGCAAGGCUAGAA